rnacentral:rRNA from 1 species
CAGCAGCCGCGGUAAUACGAAGGGUGCAAGCGUUACUCGGAAUUACUGGGCGUAAAGCGUGCGUAGGUGGUGGUUUAAGUCCGUUGUGAAAGCCCUGGGCUCAACCUGGGAAUUGCAGUGGAUACUGGGUCACUAGAGUGUGGUAGAGGAUAGUGGAAUUUCCGGUGUAGCAGUGAAAUGCGUAGAGAUUGGAAGGAACAUCUGUGGCGAAGGCGACUAUCUGGGCCAACACUGACACUGAGGCACGAAAGCGUGGGGAGCAAACAGGAUUAGAUACCCCUGUAGUCCCUGUCUCUUAUAC